rnacentral:lncRNA from 1 species
GAGCCCCACCUCUGGGUUCCAGCUUCCUCUAUCCACUGCCACAUGGAGCCUACCUGCUCUGGGUUUGCAUGCCAGGGCAUGAGGCUAAAGGACUGCUGAAAUCCAGCAUUCACCUGGACUUUCAGGAAGGCAAGGAAUGGACCAGAGGGGGCUGUGAUCACUGCCUGAAGUUAUGAAUGAGCACCAGGCAAGCACCAGGCAAGUGCCGCUGAACCACACCCCAGCCCAUGGCCAGGUAGUCUUGAAGGACAGAAAGCCUGGCCUUUCCAGCU